GGAUUUAAUAAUAAUGCUUUCCUCCAAGUAAAGUUCACAAGUUUUACAAAUGGCUUUGGAAAUCUACAUGCCAAAACAAGAGGAAAGUUUUCUUUUGCUUCUGCUCAAGACGAUAUAUAUAUAUAUAUAGAUAGAUCUGAAUUGCUUAGACCCAGUGCUUGUUUUUUUUUGAAACGGAAACAAGUUCCAUUUAAAAACUGACCAUGCAUAUCAAGCAUGCUGCAAUAUCUGUCACAAGGGUCUGUACAAUUGGUGGAUGCCAUAAACCAGAAUCAUCAGCACCUAGCAGUGAUAUGCCAUGUUACAGUAACCUGCCAUUUAUGGACCCCGCCACUCCAUCUGCACUUAUGCCAUGUUACAGUAGCCUGAAAAAACAACAGCAGCAGAAACAAAUUUGUUACAUAAUUAAUUGAUCAAAGUAAUCAGUCAUGAAUUUAAAACAGACAGCUGCUUGAUAGGGCUCCAACACCAGCCUCCUAUUUUCUUCGUAUCCUCCUCGGUGUCAUUUUUUUUGGAACCCUACAAAAAAAAACAUGGAUCAGCUCCAAGCACCACAAGUACUUUGGAACAUAACAAAGCAUCAGAAAUCUUUUUUAGCACAUUUUUAGCACCACAAAAAAAGUAAGCAUCAGUCAAUCAAUUUUCUUAGCUGAUUUCUACCUACUGUGCUGAGCUACCAGCAGCAGCCAACCACACCAUCAUCAUCGGCUGUUUCAAAUCAACUUAAAAAUUGGAAGCAAACAACCACAACACAGUCACGGCAACAUCAUAAACACAUAUACCUGAAUCCGGCUUCUACCAGUCCAUCCUUGAUUAGGUCACGAAAUAUUUCAGGAUUAUCAUGAUAGGGCAGCCAGCCAACAGGUUGACAACUGUUCCUCAUCAUCCUUGUUUGCAUCG
rnacentral:lncRNA from 1 species